AAACUUUCAACAACGGAUCUCUUGGCUCUGGCAUCGAUGAAGAACGCAGCGAAAUGCGAUAAGUAAUGUGAAUUGCAGAAUUUAGUGAAUCAUCGAAUCUUUGAACGCACAUUGCGCCCUUUGGUAUUCCGAGGGGCAUGCCUGUUCGAGCGUC
rnacentral:rRNA from 1 species